rnacentral:lncRNA from 1 species
GUUUUUUUCAUGUCCAUGUGGUCCAUCGAAAAGGAGGAGCAAGAAAUGUACAUCUCUUUCAAAAACGUUUUCUUCAAGAGUUAAUUGCCUUUCCACCAGAUUGUGGAAGUUUUUGAAGGUCCUUCAAGGUGUAGUGUGAUCUGUUGAAUACCUUGCUAACAAUUCUAGAAUAUCUGGGAGAAGGUUUUCAUCUGUUUUAGGAAAAGAGUAGGGGAAUAGGAAACGAUGAAUAUAAAUACUACUCAAGUUGAUGGAAAUUGCUCUAGGUACAUUUAUUUAUUUCUUGCCUCCACUGUAUACAUUCCACUUUAUUCUGGCAACGGUCCCUGAUUUUCACUUAGGAAUCCCCAAUUGCCCAUUCUUACUCUGUGAUUGGUUUGGUAUGUGGGAUCUCCCUUUGACCCUAAAGAUGAAGAAUGUUGCUUGGAUAUUAGUGGGCAGGGGUGGGUGGAAUAUCUAAAGCAGAGCGAAUCUCAGGACUCUUGUGGGAAUCACCAGUAAAGAGAUUCUUCCCCUGGAUCUCUGAGAGAUGUUUCAUGGGCAUCAACAAAGAAGUAGAAUUGCUAGAUGGUGUACUUGAUUUGACUUGAUAUUUGAACAUGUAGGCAGAGUUUGUUGCAGCCAUCUCACAACUAUAUGUCAACAGCCUAUCUGAAUAUGAAGUCAACAGAGAGGAAAGCAGAGGUGAGGGACUGAGAAACUCACCUGAACUUGAUGAUAUCCUUUGAGUUUCAAAUUGAACACUGGUAAAUCAACUCUAUUACUUUUCAAUUUCAUGAACCAGUAAGUUCCCCUUUUCAGGUAAUAAAGUUUGAAUUUUUCUGUUACAUCAGGUGGAAGUAGAGCUAACAUAAAGUUGUUAUUUACUUUUCCUGCACUCUCCAAAGUAUAAAAAAACAUAGCAAGGUCACCUGGGGCAUGUUAAAAAAAGAGUGGUAACAGAGAAAGGGGAGAAAGAGGACUCACAAGCCCUCUUCUCUGUUCUUUCGUAUUUCUUCUUUCCCUCCAAAUCAACGGCUGAACCCAAACCAGUCACAUUAUAUAUUUUUAAGGAUAAAUUUCUUUGGAGGCAAGGCCAGG